rnacentral:rRNA from 1 species
AAGCGGUGGAGCAUGUGGUUUAAUUCGACGCAACGCGCAGAACCUUACCUUGGGCGUUGACAUCCCGAUCGCAUCCCAUGGAAACAUGGGAGUCAGUUCGGCUGGAUCGGUUGACAGGUGCUGCAUGGCUGUCGUCAGCUCGUGUCGUGAGAUGUUGGUUAAGUCCGCAACGAGCGCAACCCUUGUCCUUAGUUGCCAGCAUUCAGUUGGGCACUCUAAGGAGACUGCCGGUGUUAAACCGGAGGAAGGUGGGGAUGACGUCAAGUCCUCAUGGCCCUUAUGUCCAGGGCUACACACGUGCUACAAUGGCCGGUACAAAGGGCUGCAAGACCGUGAGGUUGAGCGAAUCCCAGAAAGCCGGUCUCAGUUCGGAUUGGAGUCUGCAACUCGACUCCAUGAAGUUGGAAUCGCUAGUAAUCGCGGAUCAGCAUGCCGCGGUCGAAUACGUUCCCGGGCCUU